rnacentral:rRNA from 1 species
GCAAGUCGAGCGAACGGACGAGAAGCUUGCUUCUCUGAUGUUAGCGGCGGACGGGUGAGUAACACGUGGAUAACCUACCUAUAAGACUGGGAUAACUUCGGGAAACCGGAGCUAAUACCGGAUAAUAUUUUGAACCGCAUGGUUCAAAAGUGAAAGACGGUCUUGCUGUCACUUAUAGAUGGAUCCGCGCUGCAUUAGCUAGUUGGUAAGGUAACGGCUUACCAAGGCAACGAUGCAUAGCCGACCUGAGAGGGUGAUCGGCCACACUGGAACUGAGACACGGUCCAGACUCCUACGGGAGGCAGCAGUAGGGAAUCUUCCGCAAUGGGCGAAAGCCUGACGGAGCAACGCCGCGUGAGUGAUGAAGGUCUUCGGAUCGUAAAACUCUGUUAUUAGGGAAGAACAUAUGUGUAAGUAACUGUGCACAUCUUGACGGUACCUAAUCAGAAAGCCACGGCUAACUACGUGCCAGCAGCCGCGGUAAUACGUAGGUGGCAAGCGUUAUCCGGAAUUAUUGGGCGUAAAGCGCGCGUAGGCGGUUUUUUAAGUCUGAUGUGAAAGCCCACGGCUCAACCGUGGAGGGUCAUUGGAAACUGGAAAACUUGAGUGCAGAAGAGGAAAGUGGAAUUCCAUGUGUAGCGGUGAAAUGCGCAGAGAUAUGGAGGAACACCAGUGGCGAAGGCGACUUUCUGGUCUGUAACUGACGCUGAUGUGCGAAAGCGUGGGGAUCAAACAGGAUUAGAUACCCUGGUAGUCCACGCCGUAAACGAUGAGUGCUAAGUGUUAGGGGGUUUCCGCCCCUUAGUGCUGCAGCUAACGCAUUAAGCACUCCGCCUGGGGAGUACGACCCGCAA